rnacentral:lncRNA from 1 species
UCCCACCAAUAGCAUUUGCUGCAAAGUCAUUCAUAAUGGAAGAAGACUUUAUUUUUACUAUUAUCAUUACUAUUAAUGUUAUUCAUACUUAUUAUCUUUUUAAUUAUUUUUUUUUUACUUCAAUUUUUUUUUUUUCGUAUUGCAUCAUUUAACAUAUUUUUAUUUUUAAUUUCAUUAUGUGUCAUAUUAUUUUUAAUGUGUCAAAUUCAAGGUUCAUUUGUGCUAACAUACCAACCAUCCGGAUCAAAAUGAAAAAACAUGCCUCAAAC